rnacentral:lncRNA from 1 species
AGAAAGGGGAUUGAAUCAGAGAUGGCAGCCAAAGCAAUUACAGGUUUUGGGAGUGAAAGAGCAGAAGCCAAAGGGCCUGUUUGGGAUGUUGCAGUUGAUGGCAUAGCAGCAAGGGGAGGGCAGGCAGAGGCCCUUGGCCCCUCCACAGCAAGUACAGAGGGCACAUAUCUGGAAGCUCCCCAGCCUCCUCCUGCUCUCAUUCAGCACCAUCUCCACUCUCUCCUCCACCACUGGCACCAUCAUCUCAACUCUACUGUUACUGCUACUGCUAUUGCUACUGCCGAUGUUCCCAGUUGCAUACCCACUUGCCUCCUUUACCUCAAAAUCCAGGCAAACAAACAAAAACAAAAUUAGAAAAGAAGGAACCAUUCAGGGGGCGACCCAUUUAGGGGAGAAAAUUGAAGGGAUCUAUGAAAUCUGAGGUGGAUUUUUUGGUUUUAGGUUUUACUCACAUUGAUCAUCAUCACAGUGGUGAAGAGCAUGAGAAGCAAGAAGAGCACAACCCCAUAUGGAGACAUGUUGCUAUGAAGCUGAAAUGGGUGGGUUUUGUGGGGAGAGGGAGUGGUGAUGGAGAUGGGUUUCUUCCUUUUGUGGAGGUGUUUCUGAUUUGGUGGAUCAUAAAUAAGUGUCAAGAGGAUUGGGUGUGUGGUGGUGGUGGGGUUUUUGAUGGGUUUUAAUGGUUUUUGUAACGGUCAAGAAGUGGUGGUGACGAAGGAAGUG